AGCGAACGCUGGCGGCAGGCUUAACACAUGCAAGUCGAGCGUGCACCUUCGGGUGUCAGCGGCAGACGGGUGAGUAACACGUGGGAACGUACCCUUCGGUUCGGAAUAACGCUGGGAAACUAGCGCUAAUACCGGAUACGCCCUUAUGGGGAAAGGUUUACUGCCGAAGGAUCGGCCCGCGUCUGAUUAGCUAGUUGGUGGGGUAACGGCCUACCAAGGCGACGAUCAGUAGCUGGUCUGAGAGGAUGAUCAGCCACACUGGGACUGAGACACGGCCCAGACUCCUACGGGAGGCAGCAGUGGGGAAUAUUGGACAAUGGGCGCAAGCCUGAUCCAGCCAUGCCGCGUGAGUGAUGAAGGCCUUAGGGUUGUAAAGCUCUUUUGUCCGGGACGAUAAUGACGGUACCGGAAGAAUAAGCCCCGGCUAACUUCGUG
rnacentral:rRNA from 1 species